CAGCGCCCUCCUCCCCCCGGAAUAGAAAUCAAGCUUUUCCAUGCCUCCACACCUGUGCACAAACUCUUCAUUCUGACAGGAACACUUUUCUUCUUCACUGCUAACUGGUGAGCUGCUAAUUGUCAUUAAAAACCUGGAUGAAAUCACAUCUACUUUGGAAGAUUUUGCUGACUCUCGUGUGUGAUUUCCUAAGUGCAUCUUGCUAGUGCCCCUGGAAUCCUCUGUGUCUUCUUUAGUAAAAUAGGGGGAAAAUAUUGUCUGCUUCAAAGGGUUGUCGUGGGACUUGAGUGAGGCAGUCCGUGUAUAUCUUGUUAGUGCUUAAUCAAUAUUACCUGCUGUAGUCCCAUCUUCCCCAUUAAACUGAGGAUCUUGAAGGGCCCCAGGUUUUAUUCAUCUUGGUUUUCCUCCUAUCCUUACCUUUUGGACAUGAGCCCUUAGUAUAGUUUCUAGCACAGAAGGCACUUAAUACAUUAUUUUUAACUGAAAAACAUUGAGUGUGGUGGCUCUUGCCUAUUAUCUCAGCACUUUGAGAAGCCGAGGUGGGGAGAUCACCUGAGGCCAGGAGUUCAAGACCAGCCUAGGCAACAUGGUAAAACCCUGUCUCUACAAAAAAUACAAAAAUUAGCUGGGCAUGGUAGCCCACGCCUGUAGUCCCAGCUGCUCAGGAGGCUGGGGUGGGAUGAUCACCCAAGCCUAGGGAGGUCAAGGCUGCAGUGAGCCGUGAUUGCGUCACUGCACUCCAUCUUGGGUGACAGAGUUUGACCCUGUCUUAAAAAAACAAAAAGAAAGAAAAAUAUUUACCACCCCUGAAUUAUUCCAGCGUCUUCCAACAUCUUCCUAAACGCCUGAGUUUAUCUUUGCAUCAUUUUGCCGGACUGUUGGUAAUGUCUAUGUUGA
rnacentral:lncRNA from 10 species